CCUACGGGGGGCUGCAGUGGGGAAUAUUGGACAAUGGGGGCAACCCUGAUCCAGCCAUGCGGCGUGUGUGAAGAAGGCCCUCGGGUUGUAAAGCACUUUCAGUGAGGAAGAACGCCUGGUGGUUAAUACCCAUCAGGAAAGACAUCACUCACAGAAGAAGCACCGGCUAACUCCGUGCCAGCAGCCGCGGUAAUACGGAGGGUGCGAGCGUUAAUCGGAAUUACUGGGCGUAAAGCGCGCGUAGGUGGCUUGAUAAGCCGGUUGUGAAAGCCCCGGGCUCAACCUGGGAACGGCAUCCGGAACUGUCAAGCUAGAGUGCAGGAGAGGAAGGUAGAAUUCCCGGUGUAGCGGUGAAAUGCGUAGAGAUCGGGAGGAAUACCAGUGGCGAAGGCGGCCUUCUGGACUGACACUGACACUGAGGUGCGAAAGCGUGGGUAGCAAACAGGAUUAGAUACCCGAGUAGUC
rnacentral:rRNA from 1 species